rnacentral:rRNA from 1 species
GACGAACCGUGCGAACGUUGUUCGGAAUCACUGGGCUUAAAGGGCGCGUAGGCGGUUGAUCAAGUCUGGGGUGAAAUCUUUCGGCUUAACCGGAAAAGUGCCUUGGAUACUGGUCAGCUGGAGGGAGGUAGGGGCAGUUGGAACUUCCAGUGGAGCGGUGAAAUGCGUUGAUAUUGGAAGGAACGCCGGUGGCGAAAGCGAACUGCUGGACCUUUUCUGACGCUGAUGCGCGAAAGCUAGGGGAGCAAAC